rnacentral:rRNA from 1 species
GGUAAGGUGAUAUGAACCGUUAUAACCGGCGAUACCCGAAUGGGGAAACCCAGUGUGACUCGUCACACUAUCAUUAACUGAAUCCAUAGGUUAAUGAGGCGAACCGGGGGAACUGAAACAUCUAAGUACCCCGAGGAAAAGAAAUCAACCGAGAUUCCCCCAGUAGCGGCGAGCGAACGGGGAGGAGCCCAGAGCCUGAAUCAGCAUGUGUGUUAGUGGAAGCGUCUGGAAAGGCGCGCGAUACAGGGUGACAGCCCCGUACACAAAAGCGCAUGUGCUGUGAGCUCGAUGAGUAGGGCGGGACACGUGGUAUCCUGUCUGAAUAUGGGGGGACCAUCCUCCAAGGCUAAAUACUCCUGACUGACCGAUAGUGAACCAGUACCGUGAGGGAAAGGCGAAAAGAACCCCGGCGAGGGGAGUGAAAAAGAACCUGAAACCGUGUACGUACAAGCAGUGGGAGCACCC